UCAGCCGGCCUCCCCUGAAAGAGUGGGCUGCCUUCAGCAUGAUAGCAGGACUUCGGAACAAGCUGCCUUCCGGACUGAUGCUGAAGAUCUUGCCCUUCCAUCUGCUUUCGGGAAGAAAAGUGCAAAUGUAAAUCUGACCUUCAAUUCCUACGUGGCAUUUCGGGAGUAAACAGAAUGACUAGCUCCUAAAAUCCACUUUACAACGGAGCAGACAAUUUUGGCCCUCAUGCGGGUUCUCUGUGACUACCGGAAUGAGGAGGAAGAGUUUGGAGCUGGACUUAGUGCUUUGAACCCCAUGUUGGCAUGAACUAGCAGUAAAUGGAGUGCUGUGCAGCUAUGGCCCCACUCAGGCUGGUGAAGGUAUCUCUCUUGCCAGAGAUAGCAUCUGUGAUCCUGAAACGCCAAUCUCCUCUGGGAUCUAAUGUUAAUUUUGCAGCUGUCUUGUUAUCCAGUAGUGUCCUUUGCUUUGCUUUAAGGCAGCCACACAGGAGCAUGUAUCAAGUACUACACAGUUUAACUGCCUAUAAAGAUUGGGCUGACGCUACUUACUACUGGACAG